GGGGUGGGGAUCUCAUCUGUUUCUAAUUUAUCAAACAGGAGUGGGUAGGGUGACCCUAAGGACUCUCCCUAUAUUUCAUUUGAUUAGUUCUCAUACAUGAAUAUAUAUGGUUUAAUUUAAAGGUGGGGAUCUCGACUGUUUCCAAUUUCUCAAUCAGGAGGGGUGGGGUGACUGCAGGGACUCCCCUAUAUUUCAUUUAAUUUAGAGUGGGGAUCCAACUGUUUCCAAGUUCUUAAACAUGAGGGGUAGGGUGACCACAGGGACUUCCCCUAUAUUUCAUUUGAUUUGUUAUAUAGUCCCAUACAUGAGUAUAUAUGGUUAAGGGGUGAGGAUCUCGAAUUUUUCCAAGUUCUCAAACAGGAGGGUGUACAGUGACCAUAGGGACCCCCUUAUAAUUCAUUUGAUUUGUAAUAUUGUCCCAUACAUAAAUAUAUAUUGUUUAAGAUCAUUGUGGAUCUCGACCGUUAUAAAUUCUCAAACAGAAAGGGGUAGAGUGGCCCCACGAACUCCACCUAUAUUUCAUAUGAUUUGUUAUAUUGUCCCAUACAUGAAUAUAUAUGGUUUAGGGGUGGGGAUCUUGACCGUUACCAAGUUCUCAAACAGGAGGGGUGGGAGUGACCCGCAGGGAAUCCCCCUAUAUUUCAUUUGAUUAGUUAUAUUGUCCCAUACAUGAAUAAAUAUGGUUUAGGGUUGAGGAUCUCGAAUGUUUCCAAGUUCUCAAACAGGAGGGUUUACAGUGAC
rnacentral:lncRNA from 1 species